rnacentral:tRNA from 2 species
UCCGCCCUGGUGUAACGGCAGCACAUGGGUUUUUGGUGCCUUUGGUCCGGGUUCGAGUCCUGGGGGCGGAGCGA